UGCGUAGGCGGCGAUUCAAGUCAGAUGUGAAAUGCCUGAGCUCAACUGAGGCAUUGCGUUUGAAACUGAAUUGCUAGAGUAUCCUAGGGGUGUGCGGAACUGCCAGUGGAACGGUGAAAUGUGUUGAUAUUGGCAGGAACACCGGAGGCGAAAGCGGCACACUGGGGGAUAACUGACGCUGAGGCACGAAAGCCAAGGGAGCGAACGGGAUUAGAUACCCCGGUAGUCUUGGCCGUAAACGAUGAGUACUGGGCGGGAGGGGGUUUCCCCUUUCUGCCGUAGCGAAAGCGUUAAGUACUCCGCCUGGGGAGUAUGGUCGCAAGGCUGAA
rnacentral:rRNA from 1 species